GAUGAACGCUGGCGGCGUGCCUAAUACAUGCAAGUCGAGCGAACAGACGAGGAGCUUGCUCCUCUGACGUUAGCGGCGGACGGGUGAGUAACACGUGGAUAACCUACCUAUAAGACUGGGAUAACUUCGGGAAACCGGAGCUAAUACCGGAUAAUAUAUUGAACCGCAUGGUUCAAUAGUGAAAGACGGUUUUGCUGUCACUUAUAGAUGGAUCCGCGCCGCAUUAGCUAGUUGGUAAGGUAACGGCUUACCAAGGCGACGAUGCGUGGCCGACCUGAGAGGGUGAUCGGCCACACUGGAACUGAGACACGGUCCAGACUCCUACGGGAGGCAGCAGUAGGAAAUCUUCCGCAAUGGGCGAAAGCCUGACGGAGCAACGCCGCGUGAGUGAUGAAGGUCUUCGGAUCGUAAAACUCUGUUAUUAGGGAAGAACAAAUGUGUAAGUAACUAUGCACGUCUUGACGGUACCUAAUCAGAAAGCCACGGCUAACUACGUG
rnacentral:rRNA from 1 species